CAGCUCCAUCUGUCGGAUCACUAAUUAAAACUAAACGUAGCUGUACGUGCGAUGGCGAUGUGUGGAUUUUUUCGUUGGUUGGUGAUAUUUUUUGAUCACAAAACAAUUGCUAAUUAAAACAGAAGCCGUAUGAAUAAGAUACAGCCGUUACCGCGUCUGGUGAAUAGAGUGUAGUGUGUACGUGAAGUGUAUAUAAAAUAACAAACCGUGUGGUGAUGGAGGAGAGCACGGAGCCCCACAUGGAGACUGACGUUUCGUCCACCACUGGUGACGUGCCAGAGAUGCAGGAGGUGACAGGCUCCGACGGUAACGUCGAGAUGAUCAUAGUAGUAGAGAAAAUGGAUGAUGAGCCUAGUGCUCAUACAGAUGAACAAACAGAAGAGCAACCGACGUCAGUCGAGGAAGAAAUAACUACAGUUAUAAUAUCUGAAGAGGAACCUCCACAGAAAGAGACAGAGAUUAUAAACUCAUCAGUAAGUUCUCCCACACCCAUAAAAUCUAUUGUCAAGACUCCACAAACAUCUCCUGUUAGGAUUCCACAAAAAUCUCCAGCAAACAGUCCUGCAAAGUCACCAGUAAAGACGAUAUUAAAGUCUCCAGUGAAGAUUCUGAAGUCUCUAACGAACUCUCCAGUAAGGUCACCAGCUAAAUCUCCAACUAAAGAUGCAGAAAUAGUAAAUUCUCCAAGCAAGAUUGACACAAAAGAGACCCCAGAGGAGAGCACAACUCAUCUUCCAUGUAUCACUUCUCCAUCUCCUAUGGAAAUACAACAAGAAGAUGCUGUUGACUCAUCUAUUUCAGAACCUUCACCAAUACAAGCUGAAGAUAAACCUGAUACAGAGAAAUCUCCAAGCAAAGAAGUACAUAAACCUGAUCAGAAGUCACCCAUUAAGGAACAACAGCCUAUUGAGUCAGCAACAAAAGAACCUUUAUUGGUUGAUAAAACAUCAGUUAAUGGCAAAGUCCAGAGCAAUAGCACUAAUAAAAUAGAUGACACAAACACUAUAAAUACAACUACUGCCAAUCCUGCGGAUAUCACUAUUGAAAACUCAAAUGACUCUCAAAUUGAAACAAUGUCUGACUUAUCAGAGAAAGAACAUAAAGGCAUUAGUAGAGAAUUAAAAUCAUUGAUUAACUCUGCAAAAGAGUCCAAGAUCAUCAGUGAAUGUACUCAGCUGACAAGUAAAACUAGGAAAUCUAGGUCUGCCUUAGACACUUCCAGUUCAAGCCUAAAUUCAUCUCUGUUAGAGCCUAAUAAGAUACAGGAUGCAAGAAGGAAUAGUAGUAACUCACAAAAGAGCAACUGUAGCGAGAAGUCUGAAAGAAUUGUCCUGAAGAGGUCCAUGAGGUCACAGAACCCUGAAUUUGUAAGUAAGGUGAAACAGUUCCUAAACUCAGUUACAGGCAAGGGUCAAAAAGAUUCAGAUGAUGAAGAAGAUGAGGUGGAGAGUAAAGAAAAACCAGAGCAAUUGGAGCCAGCCAGAGGCACUCCACCAAAGGUCAAAAAGACUGAACAAACGGUUGUAGAGAAGAGCAAUAAGCUUCGCAUGGACCCGUACUGCUGGCGGUGUCACUGGGCUGUGGAACAGCAGGCUAAUGAGAAGUUGCAUCCUCCGAUGCAUUGCACUGUCUGUCCGAGAUCUUUCCAUUACAAAUGUCUGACGGGCACCGAGAGGAACAAGAUUAAUGUAGAGAAGAACUGGGUUUGUCCAGAAUGCAUGAUUGUACUGCAAGCGGAAAGCUCAGAGACAAGGUCGCCAGCCAUGAAGAAGAUAUCCCUGGGCAUGCUGUGUGACUUGCUGAAGCAUGCGCUGGAGAGGAUGAUGGAUCUCAAUGGGGUGGAGCCAUUCAUGCAAGCCGUAGACCGGGCAGCGUUUCCCGACUACGACAAAUACGUGGUGCACCCCAUGGACCUAUCGCUAAUGAGUCAAAACAUCGGCGAGGGACUGUAUGGCAGCACGGAGGCUUUCCUUGCCGACGCUCAGUGGAUACUGCACAACAGUAUUAUUUUUAACACAUGCGAUAUGCUUUCAACAGUGCAGUCGAAGCUGACGGCGGGCGCCCGGGCGCUGGUCCGCUCGUGCCGCGCGGAGAUGGGCGAGAUCGAGGCCUGUCCCGAGUGCUACGCCGCCGCGCAUGCGCGCAGGCCCACGUGGUUCACCGACGUCUGCACCACGCCGCAUAUUCUGUUCUGGGCGAAGCUUAAAGGCUUCCCCUACUGGCCAGCGAAAGGCAUGUCGGUGAACAGUGCAGGUCUGGUCGACGUGCGGUUCUUCGGCGCCCACGACCGCGCCUGGGUGCCGGCUAAAGACUGCUUUCUUUAUUCGGAGAAGGAUCCAAACAACUUCAGGACUAAGAGACAGGAUAUUAUUGAUAGUAUGAAGGAAGCAGAACAACACAUUCGCAAUAUAUCAAGAAAGUACGGGAGGUUCGUUUACCCGCCUUUCAAGACACAAUUUGAUCCCAGCAAAAUGAAUGAGCAACUCAAAAUGAUGAUCCCAACAUUCGAAGGAGAAGUGAGAUCGCUAGUGAAAGAGAAAGCGUCGCCGGUCGUCGCCAAGAAGAAGAGCAGGUCCAACUCCAAGAGCUCCAAGAGUUCAUUUAACGACGGGUUGCGACUCCUGUCGGAUAGUUCGGAUAGUGACGGAGAAGAACUAAAGCGACUGUAUGACCUUCUCAACAAAGACAGUGAUGUAAGUGAAAGCGAAGACACAAGUAAUGUGGAGUCGCGCAAAAUGGCGGACGGAGCCGAAAUAGCUAAAAUGGAAGAUGACGACUCUACUGUUGACAAGGAAAUGGAAGUCGAUAAACCAGUAGUCAAAGCAAAAGACGAUGCUCAGUCAUCCAGUACAACCAAUUCUAGAAAGCGUCGCAGAUCUGAGCUCGAGGAAGCAGUCAUUACUAUCAUAGAGUCCAGUGGAGUCAACAGUAGUAGUGCCAAUGAAAAGCGAAGGAAACUCGACGAACAGCCUACUGAAGAAGUUAAGACUGAUGCUGCUGAACCUAGCAGCAGCAAGGAGGAUGAUAAACCGAACUCCGACCAACCUAAAGAAACUACAGAAGAAGCAACUCCAACUAAAACAAAUGACGCAUUGACUAGGGUCAAAGAAAAUGAUCCAACCAGCAGUACUGAGAAAGAUAAAGCCCAAAGAGUAACGCCAAUAAGGAUAGCGCUAGUAACAAAAGAAAAACGACAUACCACCAGAAAUAGUUCCUCUAAUAAAGACACGACCGCUAAAAUUAUUACUCCAACUAAAAAUAAGGAGCAAGAAAAAACUACCCCGCUCAGGCCGAAGUCUGCUCGCAUUGAAAAAGUAGAGAAAACACCAAACGCAAAAGCAGAGAAAUUAGCCAAUAAAGCUGAAAAGACCCCUGUUACAAAGGCCGAAAAAGUUGAUAAGACACCCAAUUCUAAAGCUGAAAAAGUUGAAAAGACGCCUAACCCAAAAAACGAGAAAGUGGAUAAAACACCUAACGAUAAACCCACUAAAGAAGGCAGAUCUAGAUCUCAGAAGCGAAGAAAUUCGAGAAGUAGCAGGUCAACUAACAGCACAAGUUCGACACGAUCAGAAAAAGCCGAAAAGAAAUCUGAAAAGAAUAGUGAAGCUAACCCUAAAGAUAAGAAAGAGAAGGAAAGUAGUUCUAAAGACACAGACAUGGAUAAAUCUAAAGCAGAGAAUUCACCUAAACCUUCAGAGCUGCAGAGUCCGAAGUCUGUGAAAGAGCGGUUGCAAUUCGAUGACGACACUACACUUGCUGUAUUAGCCCGUGAGACUGCAAAGGCACUAGUAACAACUAACAAUACCGGCAUGCCCACCAUCAGCUGUGUUCGAAGCCUUUCCACCACGGCUCAGCUGACCGGCGUCACGAUAACUAAGACUACAACCAACGCGAACACUAUAGAUAUCACAGAAGAGGCUACAUCAGACUCCAGCAUCUUCACACCAACUAGUACUGAUAACGUGAACACUAUGAAGGAUGCAGUAUCGAAGCUACAGAAACUUCGUAGUGACGCAGAACCGGUCGUAGGCCGCGUCGGCGUCCGAGCGUUCGCGAGAAUGACCUCACCUGAGAGACCCGCAAACGAGGAAGUGCAAGUAGAAAUUAAAGCUGAACCUAUCGAUCUGGACGACGCUGACAGACACAUGGAAAAAAUGGAUCUUAUGAACGCGUUCCGACUAAGGCCGGUUAAUCCUCAAAAUCUGCCCAAUUCUACGAUGAGUUUACGCGAUGUGCGGAUAAAUAAGGUUGUUGUUACGCCGUUGAACGCUAAGAAGACGCCGCCGAAGCCUGAGAUUCGUCCUCGGGCUAAGAAAACGUUCCCUCAGCCUAAGAAGGCGGACGAGGGUCGCUCGGAGCUGAACAGCAAGAACUCGAUGGUGUACAUUCCGAUACAGCCGCCGAUGACGCAGGCGCCGCUGCGGCUGCCGCGGCCACAGGUGCCCACGCCUGUGGUCACGGCCGGCCCGAGACCGCCGCCGCUCGUCUCUAAUGCAACGACACUACAAACUAAUGGCAACAACAAUAGCCUAGUGAACACAGUAACAACACCGCUUAUGCAAGCUGUGUCCACGGCAGCGACGACUUGCACGACGGCGUCCAGCACGAGCGUGGCGACCGUGCCCACUGUCCAUACCGUGCCGCUGAUGACGUCCGUCAACGGACAGUGGAUGUUCAGCUUCCAGCCUGUUAUGUCUGUUGGUGCUAUCGAUAGUGGCGCAUCCCCCCCGAUGUUGAAAGGCGUGGCGGAGCGAGGCGGCGCGGCCGCGCUGACGUCAUCAACCGGCGCUAUACUACCCGUCACACAGGCUGGACCUACACCUCCCAUCUCUGUGUACACCAGGCCUACUGAGAAUACGCUGGGAGAGCCGCCGCGACUGCAGCAGAGGCCGGCGCAGUUCCUGCUGAACCCGCUGGACGUGAGCACGCCGAUCGGCAGCAUGCCCACGCCCUCCACCGCCGGACCCGUCACCGCUAAGCUCAACCAGAACGCUGUUAAGAUGACAGACUUCUUCCGCACACUAAUAGAGGAUUCAAUAGAGAAGCUAGAGGAGCCGGCGUCGCAGCUGACGUCGCUGCGGCUGCAGCUCGAGCAGGCGCAGUGGCAGCACAAGCAGGAGAUCGUCGAAGUCAAACAUAAUCAUGAGCUAACGCUGGCGGAGAUGCGCGCGUCGUUCGAGAAGGAGAAGCAGCGCGCCGUCAGCGAGGCACGCCGCGCCGCGCAGGUCGAGCUCGAGGCCGCCGUCAAGCUCGCCAAGUCCAAGCAGUGGUGCGCAAACUGCAGUCAGGAGGCUCAGUUCUACUGCUGCUGGAACACGUCGUACUGCGACUACCCGUGCCAGCGAGCCCACUGGUCGCAGCACUACAGUCUGUGCCAACAGCGGUCACAGGACAGUAACAACGGUGAACCUCCGAAAUCUCCUGAAAAUAGGCUACAACCGCAACCUGAGAUGCCAUUGGGGUGUAUUGGUGUUACAGAAAAGUUCCGCCGCGCCGACCCUCACGGUCGGCGGCAAGCUGGCCUCGCGCGGCUGCAGCCAAGACCCACAUAGCUCGCAGAAAGCUUCUAUUAUCGUGAGCAUGGUAGAAGACACGAGCGGCAACCAGACAAUGAAAUGCGUCGGCACGUACAAACCGCCAUCCACCGGACAGAUGCCCAUCAUCAUCAACAAACAAAUAAUGAACAACGAAGAGAACGCAAACAAGAAGGUUGUG
rnacentral:misc_RNA from 1 species